AUGACUAGGACCUCCAGAGCUUCUGUGGAAGUGGUUCUCCAGGUCUCUGUGGGCAGAACCCAAGGCAUGAAGAUCCAAGAGGGCCUGGUUCAGGUUCUUCUCCAGGGCCAAGGUGGCUCCCAUGGCAUUGAGGGUUUUACCCCACUCAUCUCGAGAUGGCUUCUGCAUAUCCUGGAAGAGGGCGCUGCCUCCGUGCUGGCCUUCAGGAGACGCUUGCCGGCCUCGAGCUUCUGGAAGAAGUGGCCCACGCCCUCCAGAGCCACAUCGUUGGAUCGAAAUGGAAGCCCAGAGAGAGAGACGAGAACUUGGAGGAAGAUUAUUACAUCACUGCAAUCUGCAGUCUGGAAUUUGGAAGGAAGAAUGGUGUUUUAUCCUUGUCCUGGAGAGCACUUCAUUUCGA
rnacentral:lncRNA from 1 species